AGAGUUUGAUCCUGGCUCAGGACGAACGCUGGCGGCACGCUUAACACAUGCAAGUCGAACGAGAGAAGAGGAGCUUGCUUUUCUGAUCUAGUGGCGGACGGGUGAGUAACACGUGAGCAAUCUGCCUUUCAGAGGGGGAUACCGAUUGGAAACGAUCGUUAAUACCGCAUAACAUAAUUGAACCGCAUGAUUUGAUUAUCAAAGAUUUAUCGCUGAAAGAUGAGCUCGCGUCUGAUUAGCUAGUUGGUAAGGUAACGGCUUACCAAGGCGACGAUCAGUAGCCGGACUGAGAGGUUGAUCGGCCACAUUGGGACUGAGACACGGCCCAGACUCCUACGGGAGGCAGCAGUGGGGAAUAUUGCACAAUGGAGGAAACUCUGAUGCAGCGAUGCCGCGUGAGGGAAGAAGGUUUUAGGAUUGUAAACCUCUGUCUUCAGGGACGAAAAAAGACGGUACCUGAGGAGGAAGCUCCGGCUAACUACGUGCCAGCAGCCGCGGUAAUACGUAGGGAGCGAGCGUUGUCCGGAAUUACUGGGUGUAAAGGGAGCGUAGGCGGGAUCGCAAGUCAGAUGUGAAAACUAUGGGCUUAACCCAUAAACUGCAUUUGAAACUGUGGUUCUUGAGUGAAGUAGAGGUAAGCGGAAUUCCUAGUGUAGCGGUGAAAUGCGUAGAUAUUAGGAGGAACAUCAGUGGCGAAGGCGGCUUACUGGGCUUUAACUGACGCUGAGGCUCGAAAGCGUGGGGAGCAAACAGGAUUAGAUACCCUGGUAGUCCACGCCGUAAACGAUGAUUACUAGGUGUGGGGGGACUGACCCCUUCCGUGCCGCAGCAAACGCAAUAAGUAAUCCACCUGGGGAGUACGACCGCAAGGUUGAAACUCAAAGGAAUUGACGGGGGCCCGCACAAGCAGUGGAGUAUGUGGAUUAAUUCGAAGCAACGCGAAGAGCCUUACCAGGUCUUGACAUCGUAUGCAUAGCUCAGAGAUGAGUGAAAUCUCUUCGGAGACAUAUAGACAGGUGGUGCAUGGUUGUCGUCAGCUCGUGUCGUGAGAUGUUGGGUUAAGUCCCGCAACGAGCGCAACCCUUACUGUUAGUUGCUACGCAAGAGCACUCUAGCAGGACUGCCGUUGACAAAACGGAGGAAGGUGGGGAUGACGUCAAAUCAUCAUGCCCCUUAUGACCUGGGCCUCACACGUACUACAAUGGCUGUCAACAGAGGGAAGCAAAGCCGCGAGGUGGAGCGAACCCCUAAAAGCAGUCUUAGUUCGGAUUGUAGGCUGCAACCCGCCUACAUGAAGUCGGAAUUGCUAGUAAUCGCAGAUCAGCAUGCUGCGGUGAAUACGUUCCCGGGCCUUGUACACACCGCCCGUCACGCCAUGGGAGUCGGUAACACCCGAAGCCUGUAGUCUAACCGCAAGGAGGACGCAGUCGAAGGUGGGAUUGAUGACUGGGGUGAAGUCGUAACAAGGUA
rnacentral:rRNA from 1 species